ensembl:lncRNA
AAUGUCACAGGCCCUGCAGUAGACACAGAGGGACAAAGAGGAGCAAGGUGUCCCUCACCCUUGGGUUGCUAACAGUCUAGAGGAAGAACUGAAUAAAGUGAGUGCUCUCCAGGAAAUUUUGUAAUCAUUCUCUAUUUUCCCAGCUAGAGGAAUUCUCAUGUUUUGGAAGCAUUUACAGUGCAUAUCUUCAUGGGUUAAAUAACAAUUUGAAACACUUAAAGCAAAACAAAUACAUUGUAGAGAGAUGUAGAAAAUAUUUUGAAAGCUGUGAAUCAGUAAGUUUGUGUGUCUGUAUCUUUCCUGGGUUCAUUUUGUGCGGAAGUGAUAAAAUGCAGGUUAAAGUUCCGUGGAUUUUCUCCAGAUCCUGGCUGGAGUCUUUCCCUCACAUCCUGCUGUGUUUCCAGGACUUCGAGUCUGUGCAGCGCUUAGAGAAGUUCGGUUGAGGAAAAGAAACUUUAUUUCAUUCUAGCCUGGAAAUGACUUCUUUUCUUUCAUUAAAUGUGUGAGGUUUGAAUCAGACAGCUAUACAUAGUGAGAAAAUAAUUCCAUCCCCAGAGACAGAGAGCAGCAGAUUAUCUCAUGGAGACUACAGCAGGUGAAAGCCUUUGAAAAGCCCUCUGCUAUGAUGCAGAGUCCCGGCCGGCCGUGCGUGCUCCGUUCUGAGACGUGAAGGCUUCUCUGAGUAGACUGUGAGCUCCUUUAGAGCAGAAGCCAUGUCAUGUUUAUUCGUCCGACCCAAGCACCCCACGUCAGGCUCGAUGAUUUUCACCUCAGGAAUUGUUAGGAGACGGUUCUGUGGCUCCAGACCUCACAUCUCUCCCAAGGGCUGUACAAACCGUGUUCUGAAUCAGCUACGGGGUCAAAGUACAGACAGGAAGUGGCUUGUGAAGCCAGGCUUGGCCUGAAAACCCAGUACAUAUGCAUCUCAUCUUCAGUGGGGUGUGACAUUCGACAUCACCACCCUCUUCCUGCCCAACUGGGCCUUGGCGUUGGUUUUGCCUUGGAGGCAAGAAAGGCAACAAAACCAUGAGAAGUUUCCCUUCCAGAGCACUUCUUAGGGGAGCUUGGUGCUUUACCAGACAUUUGUGUUGCUUAGCAUUCGUGACAUGCUCCUCAGUCCACUAGCAAGAGGUUCGAGGCGGAGUGAACACAUUUCUUCUUGACUGUAUGUAGAGCUCGCAGUAGAAAGGAGUAAAAAGAUAGAUGAUGAAGCAAUACUCCACACAUAUUCUUUGCUUUCUCCCCUUUCCUGUAAUAACUUCUCAACGUAAUGGCUCUCAUAUACAUUUCAGAGGAUUUCCAUUUUAUUAUGUGUUGAAUCAUAUAGUGUCAGUAAAUCCAUCAGAAAUUCUCAUUCCCCACUCGGACAAUGUGGCCAUAUUGAUUCAGAAAGAAACCGAGACAUCAAGGAGACGUGCUGGCCACAGCUGCAGGGGCUUUAUUAUGUUCAUUUGCCUCGUAAACUUCUCUGUCUGCCAAACGAAGACGGCUUAAAGUUGCCGGGCAUCUUGCAGGGCUGGGCUGCCUUCAGGUGCUGUUGGGAACUGUGGUGGGGAUGCUCUGAGUCUCCUUCCACACCCACACCGAGUCCCCCGCGUUUCCCGUCAUUGCUGGUGUGGGUGGGGGUGCUGCAUCAACUCUGCCUCGGGGUUCUUCCACGCAGAGUGACACAGGGCCCGACUGACCUGAAACCGACUCCUAGGCUUUACAGUUAGGCAUUUGGUGGUAAAGGAAAGCUU